UCAAGACGGCCCCAAUGAAGAUGGGGAGAUGUUCAUGCGGCCAGGGAAGCUAUUCGACUAUUUCCCAAAACCAUACCCCAACAGUGAGGCUGCUCGAGCGGCCAACAACGGAGCAUUGCCCCCUGACCUCAGCUACAUCGUGCGAGCUAGGUACACGGGCUGCCCAUGGGGUGGUGCUGGAGAGAUGGGGGAAGGGCUGACUUGUGCUUGGAACUAAGGAGCCAUGGAUCUGGUCCUAGGCAUGGUGGUGAGGACUACGUCUUCUCCCUGCUCACGGGCUACUGCGAGCCACCCACCGGGGUGUCACUGCGGGAAGGUCUCUACUUCAACCCCUACUUUCCUGGCCAGGCCAUUGCCAUGGCCCCUCCUAUCUACACAGAUGUCUUAGAGUUUGACGAUGGCACCCCAGCUACCAUGUCCCAGAUAGCCAAGGAUGUGUGCACCUUCCUGCGCUGGGCAUCUGAGCCAGAGCACGACCAUCGAAAACGCAUGGGGCUCAAGGUAAAAGGGUUGGGAGGCCAUGGUGGGUAUCAGAGAAGGGCU
rnacentral:sRNA from 1 species